rnacentral:rRNA from 1 species
UGGGGAAGUAUUGCGCAAUGCCUAACGGCUGACGCAGCGACGCCGCGUGUGGGAUGACGCCUCGGGCUGUAAAACCACUGUUGCUCGAGACGAAUAGCGAACUUCAGUUCGCCUGACGGUAUCGAGUGAGGAAGCACCGGCUAACUCCGUGCCAGCAGCCGCGGUAAUACGGAGGGUGCGAGCGUUGUCCGGAAUUAUUGGGCGUAAAGAGCUCGUAGGCGGUCUGUCGCGUCGGAUGUGAAAGCCCGGGCUU